rnacentral:rRNA from 1 species
UAGAUACCCCACUAUGCUUAGUCGUAAACCUAAAUAGUCUCAAAACAAGACUACUCGCCAGAGUACUACUAGCAAUAGCCUAAAACUCAAAGGACUUGGCGGUGCUUCAUAUCCCUCUAGAGGAGCCUGUUCUAUAAUCGAUAAACCCCGAUCAACCUCACCAACCCUUGCUACUCCAGUCUAUAUACCGCCAUCUUCAGCAAACCCUAAAAAGGAAUGAAAGUAAGCACAAUUAUCUUACAUAAAAACGUUAGGUCAAGGUGUAACUUAUGGGGUGGGAAGAAAUGGGCUACAUUUUCUAUACCAAGAACAUCCCUAUAUCCACACGAAAGUUUUUAUGAAAUCUAAAAACUAAAGGAGGAUUUAGCAGUAAACUAGGAAUAGAGUGCCUAGUUGAAUAAGGCCAUGAAACACGCACACACCGCCCGUA